UACAGAGGUCUCAAGCGUUGUUCGGAUUCAUUGGGCGUAAAGGGUGUGUAGGUGGCGCCGUAAGUCGGGUGUGAAAUUUCGGAGCUUAACUCCGAAACUGCAUUCGAUACUGCGGUGCUUGAGGACUGGAGAGGAGACUGGAAUUCAUGGUGUAGCAGUGAAAUGCGUAGAGAUCGAGAGGAACACCAGUGGCGAAGGCGAGUUCCUGGACAAGUCCUGACGCUGAGGCACGAAAGCCAGGGGAGCAAACAGG
rnacentral:rRNA from 1 species